rnacentral:lncRNA from 1 species
CUCGCAGGAGAGGGCUGGGCAGAGGAACCACGACGGCCAUGCGGAAGCCACACAAGAGCGAUCCAAUGUCUCAUCUCCGCCCUCAAUCAUGGCCUCCGCUGAUGCCAAAGUAAACCCAUUCAGCUUCAGGAGGCUUUUCAGCAAACAAAGCAUAAUUUGUACGACGGAUCUGUGUGUUACAGGUAUGAUGCUCCACUUGGUCUCACUGCCUCCCGUCUCUGCUCCAUCCAAUCUAUCUUCCAGUCCAGAAGUGAAGGUUUUGUGCCAAAAUGCAUUCACCCAUCCAAACAUUCAAUAAAUAUCUACUAAGUACCCACUAAAGGUUAGGUGUGCGUGAAGCCCUGGUGGCAAAGAAAUAAACAGACCCGACCUCUUCCCUCAAACAGCUAGUGAACAGUGCAAACCAUGGCAUGGUUUGAAAAAUGAGCAUGAGGACUGCCCAGGGUCCCUUUGGGAAAUGCUGAACAGAGUGUGCAUGGCACAUUCAACAGUUCCUUGGAGCAUGGAGUACCCACGGGCAAGAGUGGGAGAGAAAGCGAGGAGGCAGGCAAAGGCCAGGGCAGGAAGGCCCCAAAAGGCCAUGUGGACCUCACCACGUGAUUUCUGUUUAGAAACUUUCAAUGGUGCCCCAUUCCAAACCCUUAAGUAUGGCCUCUGUGCGUCCUGGUGUAGCCCCCAAGCUACAUUUCUGAUCCAUUCUCAACUCCUAGUACUGUGCUACACCCAUCUACACCUCACUCCUCAAAGACUCGAAGUAAACUCAUGCUCUUGGCCUGAUUCAAAUAAUUCCCUUAGGCCACUCUGGACCCCAAACCGUCUCCUCCACAUCUCGGCCUGCUGAAACCGGACUUACCGUUUCUUCAGUAUAAUACUGCAGCCACUAACCAGUAGGAAUUAAGCAUGGUCCUACCUUCAAGGAGGUUAGACUCUUGUGGAAGAAAAGGAUAAGUUUAGUUAACUAUCGUGUAACUAUAAAAGACAUGGUGAUGAUAUGUGAUAGGUGUUUCCAAAAAAUCACUUCACUGUAGUAACAAUACAGUGGGAAAUGAGUUGUCGGACUUUGCAAGGAAUGUUUCAAGAAUAAAAGCAUUUAAACUGAUCCUUGCCAGUUAAAUAGGGUCCAACCAAUCACAACAGACACUAAUACCAGCUGAUUGUUACCUUUCCAUCUCUUGCUGUACCUCGUUAACAAUAGAAUCUCAAAAAAUGCCUGCUGAAUAAACCAUACAUAUGCAUAAUAAACUCCAAAAGAAAGUA